AGUCAACCUAACUCGUGGACGUGGAUAACCUCGGGAAACUGAGAAUAAACCACGAUAGAUCAUAGUGCCUGGAAUGGCUUAUGGUCCAAACAGUUUACUGCCAUGGGAUGGGACUGCGGCCUAUCAGCUUGUCGGUGAGGUAAUGGCCCACCAAGGCGAUUACAGGUACGGGCUCUGAGAGGAGAAGCCCGGAGAUGGGUACUGAGACACGGACCCAGGCCCUAUGGGGCGCAGCAGGCGAGAAACCUUAGCAAUGUGCGAAAGCACGACUGGGUCAGUCCGAGUGAUUCCUGAUAAAGGAGUCUCUUGCUUGUCCUAAAAGCACAGGUGAAUAAGGGGUGGGCAAGUCUGGUGUCAGCCGCCGCGGUAAUACCAGCACCUCGAGUGGUCAGGACGUUUAUUGGGCCUAAAGCAUCCGUAGCCGGCUCUGCAAGUCUUCGGUCAAAUCCACCUGCUCAACAGAUGGGCUGCUGGAGAUACUACAGAGCUAGGGAGUGGGAGAGGCAGACGGUAUUCAGUGGGUAGGGGUAAAAUCCUCUGAUCCAUUGAGGACCACCAGUGGCGAAGGCGGUCUGCCAGAACACGUUCGACGGUGAGGGAUGAAAGCUGGGGGAGCAAACCGGAUUAGAUACCCGGGUAGUCCCAGCUGUAAACGAUGCAAACUCGGUGAUGCAUUGGCUUAUGGCCAAUGCAGUGCCGCAGGGAAGCCGUUAAGUUUGCCGCCUGGGAAGUACGGACGCAAGUCUGAAACUUAA
rnacentral:rRNA from 1 species